GGACUACAAGGGUUUCUAAUCCUGUUUGCUCCCCUUGCUUUCGCGCUUUAGCGUCAGGUAUAAGCUAGAAAACCGCCUUCGCCACUGGUGUUCUUCCACAUAUCUACGCAUUUCACCGCUACUUGUGGAAUUCCGUUUUCUCCGCCUACCCUCUAGAAAUGCAGUUUCAAAUGCUGUUCCGGGGUUGAGCCCCGGGAUUUCACAUCUGACUUACAUUCCCGCCUACGCGCCCUUUACGCCCAAUAAAUCCGAUUAAUGCUCGCACCCUACGUAUUACCGCGGCUGCUGGCAC
rnacentral:rRNA from 1 species